UGAGCAACCUGCCCUUGGCUUUGGGAUAACCCUUGGAAACGGGGGCUAAUACCGAAUGUUCACUGUUGGACGCAUGUUUGGUGGUGGAAAGUUUUUCGGCUGGGGAUGAGCUCGCGGCCUAUCAGCUUGUUGGUGUGGGUAAUGGCCCACCAAGGCGACGACGGGUAGCCGG
rnacentral:rRNA from 1 species